UCUUUGAAUUUUCUAUUCAGUCGGUGGGGGCGGCUGUUUUUGUCUUGGCUGACGAGGGGAUUGGCGGAGGGGUGGCGGAGACGGCGGAGGGAAGGAGGCUCCUCGCCGGUGAUUAGCGGCAGGUCGGCUAGGCGAAGAUGGCGACAAGGUGCGCUUGAAUGCGGGAUGUGUUCUUCACAGGGACGGCCGCUGGAGAGGAGCUCAGCGGGGCUCUCCUAUCGUGCUCGCUACCAGCAAGCACAUGUUGGUGGGGGAGGUGGUAAUCGCCGGCGUCGUUCUGGCGCAAGUAUGACCACUGGUAUCUUCUCUUCGGUUUUUGGAUCAUCCUUAGAUGAUUAGGAGAGUGGCAUCUAUGCUUUCAUGGGUAACCUCCCUAUCUUUCUGCCUCUUUUGGUGGGUCUGCAGGUGCGGCUCUUUUUGAUGUGAAAAACUAAAAGCACGCUUUGUUUUCGUGUAAGUUAAUAAUUGUAAACUGGAACCUACAAUUGGUUGAUGGGAAAACUGGAACAUACAAUUAAAAGCACUUUUUGUGUUUUCCUUUGUGAGUAUUCAGUUUUGUCAGUGUUUUGGUGUAUUUUUCUUCGGUCCAUCAGUUUUCAGUGUAUCUACAUUUGUCAUUUCAGUACUGUAUUAUUCAUUUACUUUGCAUGGGGUCAGCACCAAGAAGACCGCCGACAGCCGCAACUCUUCCGGUAUCUUCUUUUCCUUCUAAAAUGUAUCCUUCAUGCCACCAUCAUGUCUGACAGGGAUGCCUGCCGACCAUCACCGGCCCAUGCCAAGUACUUUCACUCUUGGCAAACCGUUCAUCAUUUUUCGACUUUUCAGUUCAUUUAUGGGCAAUAGUUUUUACUCAGCACUCGCCCAUGCCCACGCAUAUCUCUCUAUAAGCUAUGUACAUUUUAUUGGAUCAUUUUUUCACAUUCAGUUCAGUUCAACUAUCGCAACAGUUUACCUUUUAGUUCAGUUUUAGUUUUCAUCAAUUUGAAUUAUGAUUUCAGCCUUGUUUAAUUUAGUUGAUCAGUAUCCCAACAUCAGUCUUGUAGUUGAUUCACUUAUUUUAGUCUGUAAUUGCUUCACUCAUUUAAGCUUGGGCAAAAAGAGCAUCACUGGAACCGAGUACAAUACCGCAUCCGAUGGUCUGAUCUUCUUCAAGAAUGGAUGGAAGAAGUUUCUUACGAGGACAAGACUUGAGAUUGGAGCGGAUGUGUUAGUAACAUGCAAGACAAAGGAUUCCAUCAUUCAACAUUAUGGUGGGACCAUGGGACACUGCGUCUCUAGCUUGAAGUUCAGGUAUUACAGACCAUUUGACAAUAGAAAGGAUGAGAGAUGCUUGGGGGUCUCUGUUCCCUUGUUUAUCAGUGGUGACCAUGAAGUGUGAUGAUUGGCUCUCUUGGUCGACGGAUAUGAACUGAAUCAGGGUUGGAAUGCGAACAUCAUCGCCACCAUGUAUAGAAGGGGAAUCGUGUUCGCCUGUAAAUAUUACUUCUACAUGAAAGAUGGCACGAACUUGCAUUUUGUUUUUUUUUGUAACAUAGCCUUUUCUACGCUGAAAUAAAAAUGUCUCACUAUAAAUAAAAGAAGGCAAAAGCUGA